AUUUAGGGUUUCGUUCUACACAGCACAUGUGUGGGUACAAUCCUGUUCUGCACUCACACCCCACCCUUGUAUCCUGAAGUAUUGAGAAUAAAGGAUCAGAUGUGAGAAGAAUGGUGGGAGAAAAGGAAUUCACAGAAGGAGAUUGUGACGUUCUGCUCAGGACACGUAGAGCUUACAUUGUCUCUGCCUCAAGAGCCAGGAGGGCUUCCUGAGAUGCAGCCUCUGACAACCAGCAGCUGUAGCCUGAUGCAAAGAGCCAUUUGCAAUGGCCUGAGAAGGAGCAAGACUACAGACCAGGUUAGGAUGGCCGGUCUACCCAUAGCUACUGACAGGUUCACCUUCCUCUCAAUCAAC